rnacentral:rRNA from 1 species
UGGGGAAUAUUGGCACAAUGGGCGCAAGCCUGAUGCCAGCCAUGCCGCGUGUGUGAAGAAGGCCUUCGGGUUGUAAAGCACUUUCAGCGAGGAGGAAGGUGGUGAACUUAAUACGUUCAUCAAUUGACGUUACUCGCAGAAGAAGCACCGGCUAACUCCGUGCCAGCAGCCGCGGUAAUACGGAGGGUGCAAGCGUUAAUCGGAAUUACUGGGCGUAAAGCGCACGCAGGCGGUUUGUUAAGUCAGAUGUGAAAUCCCCGGGCUCAACCUGGGAACUGCAUUUGAAACUGGCAAGCUAGAGUCUCGUAGAGGGGGGUAGAAUUCCAGGUGUAGCGGUGAAAUGCGUAGAGAUCUGGAGGAAUACCGGUGGCGAAGGCGGCCCCCUGGANGAAGACUGACGCUCAGGUGCGAAAGCGUGGGGAGCAAACAGUUAGNUACCCUGGUAGUCACGCUGUAAACGAUGUCGAUUUUGGAGGUUGUGCCCCUUGAGGCGUGGCUUCCGGAGCUAACGCGUUAAAUCGACCGCC